UGGCGGCGUGCUUAACACAUGCAAGUCGAACGAUGAUCCCAGCUUGCUGGGGGAUUAGUGGCGAACGGGUGAGUAACACGUGAGUAACCUGCCCUUGACUCUGGGAUAAGCCUGGGAAACUGGGUCUAAUACCGGAUACGACCAUCUGGCGCAUGUCAUGGUGGUGGAAAGCUUUUGUGGUUUUGGAUGGACUCGCGGCCUAUCAGCUUGUUGGUGGGGUAAUGGCCUACCAAGGCGACGACGGGUAGCCGGCCUGAGAGGGUGACCGGCCACACUGGGACUGAGACACGGCCCAGACUCCUACGGGAGGCAGCAGUGGGGAAUAUUGCACAAUGGGCGAAAGCCUGAUGCAGCGACGCCGCGUGAGGGAUGACGGCCUUCGGGUUGUAAACCUCUUUCAGUAGGGAAGAAGCGAAAGUGACGGUACCUGCAGAAGAAGCGCCGGCUAACUACGUGCCAGCAGCCGCGGUAAUACGUAGGGCGCAAGCGUUAUCCGGAAUUAUUGGGCGUAAAGAGCUCGUAGGCGGUUUGUCGCGUCUGCUGUGAAAGACCGGGGCUCAACUCCGGUUCUGCAGUGGGUACGGGCAGACUAGAGUGCAGUAGGGGAGACUGGAAUUCCUGGUGUAGCGGUGAAAUGCGCAGAUAUCAGGAGGAACACCGAUGGCGAAGGCAGGUCUCUGGGCUGUAACUGACGCUGAGGAGCGAAAGCAUGGGGAGCGAACAGGAUUAGAUACCCUGGUAGUCCAUGCCGUAAACGUUGGGCACUAGGUGUGGGGGACAUUCCACGUUUUCCGCGCCGUAGCUAACGCAUUAAGUGCCCCGCCUGGGGAGUACGGCCGCAAGGCUAAAACUCAAAGGAAUUGACGGGGGCCCGCACAAGCGGCGGAGCAUGCGGAUUAAUUCGAUGCAACGCGAAGAACCU
rnacentral:rRNA from 1 species